rnacentral:rRNA from 1 species
GCUUACGGCCAUACCACCCUGAGAACGCCCGAUCUCGUCUGAUCUCGGAAGCUAAGCAGGGUCGGGCCUGGUUAGUACUUGGAUGGAAGACCGCCUGGGAAUACCAGGUGCUGUAAGCU